rnacentral:misc_RNA from 1 species
GUGGCCGAGUGUCGAGGGAGGCUCGGUUGGUGUGGGUGGCUGAAAAAAGCAGAUGUGUGCGCGCGCGCUCCUUCCUCUCUUCUGUUUUUUGCGUUGCACGAGCGAUCCUCGCUCGUUUCCUGGCUGCCACGCCGGCUGGCAGACCACUGCACGUGGUGUCUAACGCUAUAUGACAGAGAGAAAGAGAGAGGGUGAAUAUAGGAGAGAAGGUCAUACUGUGCAACGAAAAAGGGUGAAUAAAAAGUGCUCGUUAAAUAUCCUUUCUUCAUCGGCAAACUACUACGGUGACUGCAUAUAUAAAUACUAAUGACGAGAGAUUUGUAAAAAGUUUAGUAAGUAAACGCAUCGAUAGUUCGAUAUGUGUAUAGUAGGUUAGGUUAACCUUAUCAGAGAAAGAAAGAAAUAAUUGUUCUAACGAAAAGGACUCGAAGCUUUCGCUCGGAGAGGAAGAAAGCGUCGUUGGUCGAGAGUUUCCCCCACUCCGGUGUACCGUCCCCCUCUACUCGUAGCAUCGUUCGCGGUGCGUUCGCUUAGGUUCUGCUUUUGCUUCGAAGACUUCAGACUCGACACUCGGUUCGUUCGGGCAGUGUCGUUCGAUGAGUUAGUUAGCGAAGAAAUAAGGGCCCUACGCGUUUGCGACCUCGGCCGAUCGGUUAAUUCGUCUCCUCCCAAGUGUUACUUAUUCUUACGUCUGCUUCUUUACCUCCUCGUUCUUCGAAUCAUCUUGAACAACGUUGCAACGGACGAAUCCCUUCAAGGACGACCAAGGACUUCUUUACGAAUCUUUCGAAACCAGAGCGAUGUUCCUUGCGAUAUUUCGGAGACGUGUACUCGGUAGGUACGAGGAUUCAAAAAGAUCGCCGAUUGGAUAAAGCCGGAAAGUGAGUCAAAAGCAACGACGCCAUCUUUAUCUAUAAGGAAAAAUAAUCGUAAAAGAAAACGCCGAUCGGCCUGACAGAAAAUUAAUUACUAAAGGUGCAUCCGAUUUAGUGUACCGUAUAAUCCUGAUUACAAAUAUAAUAGAAAAAAAAUUAGAAAAAAAUAUAGAAGGAGAGAAAGAGAGAGAAAGCGAAAGGAAGAGAAGUUGCAGGAUGUCUUUCGGUGCUAAUCGAUUUCCUUCGAGCCAACACACGCGUUAUCGCAGCAGCUGGGGACCGUCUUCCGUUUCCGUGUUCGAUCGUGCAGACGUACCUAGGCCAUCUCCCGAAGAAGAAGAGUACGCCGAAUUCUAUCACGAACGAUUGCACUCGGCUCAGAGUAGGCAACUGAUCCCUCUUCAGGAAGAUCUAGCCGACUGGAUCAAUAAAACUAUAAACGUCGAUUAUAUAACGGGUGACAAUUUUUUCGACACGUUGGAUAAUGGCGUGGUUGUUUGCCGAUUGGCUAAAGUCAUACAGGAAAAAGCCAGAUCGGCUAUCGACGCUGGCAAAGCGAAAGGGCCAAUACCGGUGAUCAGAGGACGUUGUUGGGAAAAUGCAGCGAGACGUAGCUUCUUCUCGCGCGACAAUAUGGAAAAUUUUAUACAAUUUUGUCGUCGAUUAGGGGUACACGAAAAUCUUCUAUUCGAAAGUGACGAUCUUGUCUUACAUGGUCAGCCUCGAAACGUAGUACUCUGUUUAUUGGAAGUUGCAAGAUUGGCAGCAAGGUAUUCCUUGGAACCACCUGGUCUCGUCCAAUUGGAAAGAGAAAUCGCUGAACAAGAACAAGAUCUGCGUUGUCUUUCGGACAGUGGAAUUUCUCAUAGCAGUCUCGUUUCCUGGCAAUUCGCUCCUUCGAAAAUGUCAACGCUCCGACCGCAAACGGAAAAGAUUAAACACAGUAGUUCAACGUCUGAAGUGGCAGAGAUGACGACUGGUUGGUUGGACCCGACAACGGGUAAUAAUCACGAGCCUGAAAUGAGACGAUCGAUUAGCGAUAAUGGGCCAGCCGGUAGCGAUGGAAUAAACAGCGAUACCACGGAAGAUGAUUGGUCGCGUGGUAGCGUUGAUGAUCCCGAUGACGUUACUUCGCCAUUACCUUCGUUAACUAGUUCACCAUCUCCAACCCAAUCACCUGCGGAUCCUCCGGAAUAUACCGGACCUAUCACUGAACUCGAUCGCAAGGUGCGAAGAGUUACGGAAGCUGUACAGAGGCUUUGCCAAUGUCCGUCUGGUAAAUGUUCAAGAUUGAAAGUACGAAAAGUUGGAGAAGGCCGAUAUCAUAUAGCAGGACGCAACGUAUUCAUUAGGCUUCUGAAAGGAAGACACAUGAUGGUGAGAGUGGGCGGUGGGUGGGACACCUUGGAGCACUUCUUGGCGAGGCAUGACCCCUGUCAGGUGAGGGCUCUCAACCAAGAUGGUACACCACCCCCUACCCCAUCGUCUAUUUCAAAAGGCAGAAAGCACCGCGACAAUGACUUCCUACGCAUUCACGCCAAGUAUCGUGGCAUUUCCUUGGAACCCGUCCCCAUAUCUGUCUCCGGGCGCUAGCCUAAAAGCCAACAUCAACGGCAACACCAACGCCAACAGCAAGCACGGCAUCAUCGCUCGCACCUCUCGACCAUCCUGCAUAUCACAAAUACAAGGGCAUGGUGUGCAAAGGGAUACCAAAGCAAAGAAAUAUCCGACGAGUAUUGUCGGCACGUUGAG